rnacentral:rRNA from 1 species
GACGAACGCUGGCGGCGUGCUUAACACAUGCAAGUCGAACGGAAAGGCCCUGCUUUUGUGGGGUGCUCGAGUGGCGAACGGGUGAGUAACACGUGAGUAACCUGCCCUUGACUUUGGGGUAACUUCAGGAAACUGGGGCUAAUACCGCAUAUAAGCUCCUGCUGCAUGGUGGGGGUGGGAAAGUUUCGCCGUUUGGGCAUGGACUCGCGGCUUAUCAGCUUGUUGGUGGGGUGGUGGAUUACCAAGGCUUUGACGGGAAGCCGGACUGAGAGGGUGACCGGCCACAUUGGGACUGAGGUACGGCCCAGAGUGCUACGGGGGGCAGCAGUGGGGAAUAUUGCACAAUGGGCGGAAGCCUGAUGCAGCAACGCCGCGUGGGGGAUGACGGCCUUCGGGUUGUAAACCGCUUUCGCCUGUGACGAAGCGUGAGUGACGGUAAUGGGUAAAGAAGCACCGGCUAACUACGUG